GAUGAACGCUGGCGGCGUGCCUAAUACAUGCAAGUCGAGCGAACAGAUGAGGAGCUUGCUCCUCUGACGUUAGCGGCGGACGGGUGAGUAACACGUGGAUAACCUACCUAUAAGACUGGGAUAACUUCGGGAAACCGGAGCUAAUACCGGAUAAUAUAUUGAACCGCAUGGUUCAAUAGUGAAAGACGGUUUUGCUGUCACUUAUAGAUGGAUCCGCGCCGCAUUAGCUAGUUGGUAAGGUAACGGCUUACCAAGGCAACGAUGCGUAGCCGACCUGAGAGGGUGAUCGGCCACACUGGAACUGAGACACGGUCCAGACUCCUACGGGAGGCAGCAGUAGGGAAUCUGCCGCAAUGGGCGAAAGCUUGACGGAGCAACGCCGCGUGAGUGAUGAAGGUCUUCGGAUCGUAAAACGCUGUUAUUAGGGAAGAACAAAUGUGUAAGUAACUAUGCACGUCUUGACGGUACCUAAUCAGAAAGCCACGGCGAACUACGU
rnacentral:rRNA from 1 species